rnacentral:rRNA from 1 species
CCUACGGGUGGCAGCAGUGAGGAAUAUUGGUCAAUGGGCGCGAGCCUGAACCAGCCAAGUAGCGUGAAGGAUGACUGCCCUACGGGGUGUAAACUGCUUUUAUAAAGGAAUAAAGUGAGGCACGUGUGCCUUUUUGUAUGUACUUUAUGAAUAAGGAUCGGCUAACUCCGUGCCAGCAGCCGCGGUAAUACGGAGGAUCCGAGCGUUAUCCGGAUUUAUUGGGGUUAAUGGGAGCGUAGCUGGGUGGUUAAGUCAGUUGUGAAAGUUUGCGGCUCAACCGUAAAAUUGAAAUUGAUACUGGCAGUCUUGAGUACAUUUGCGGUCGUCUGACUUCGUGUUGUAGCGGU